AUGACCCAGAGCCCCUCCCAUUCCAACAGAUUCCCGGCCUGCCUUCUGCCUGGAACCUCAUCACACGGGUCCCUGCAGGGCCCGGAAGAUCAGGUACUUCUACAAUGCCAAGUCCGGGCACUGCGACAUCUUUGUAUAUGGCGGCUGCUUUGCAAAGAAGAACAACUUCCCAACAGCACAAGACUGCAUGAAGACCUGCGGUGGUCAUGUGGGGACCCACGGAGGACCUGCGAACUGUGCUCUCCCGAAACUCUGAAGUCAAGGAGGACACACACAGGGCUGGGCUGUGGCUGCUUCUGAAACAGUGUGAUCUCCUCUGAGUCUGUCUCAACCCCACCCACCUCAGCAGAACCCUGGCUCUCUCCUUCCCCCAUGGGUCUACUUGCUUUAGCUCUGUCUCAUCCAGUCGGCUCUAAGCACCAUGAGAACAAGUCUUCCCUUUAUCCUUAGCACUUAGCACAGUUCCUGGCACGAAGGAGAUGGUCCAUAAUUACUUGAGGAAGGAAAGAAUGAAUGCAGGUGCACAUUCCUCACAGUGGCUGAGGUCUUUUCAAUAAAGAAGCCCCUUUCCCUCACAGUGAUGUUGCUCAUUUUCCUAUCUGUGGCUUCAAGCUGUCUGUCUUAUAUUCCAAUAAAUUCAUGUUCAAAUUAAACUAA